UACUUUGCUGACGAGCGGCGGACGGGUGAGUAAUGCCUACGAAUCUGCCUAGUAGUGGGGGAUAACGUUCGGAAACGAACGCUAAUACCGCAUACGUCCUACGGGAGAAAGUGGGGGACCUUCGGGCCUCACGCUAUUAGAUGAGCCUAGGUCGGAUUAGCUAGUUGGGGAGGUAAUGGCUCACCAAGGCGACGAUCCGUAACUGGUCUGAGAGGAUGAUCAGUCACACUGGAACUGAGACACGGUCCAGACUCCUACGGGAGGCAGCAGUGGGGAAUAUUGGACAAUGGGCGAAAGCCUGAUCCAGCCAUGCCGCGUGUGUGAAGAAGGUCUUCGGAUUGUAAAGCACUUUAAGUUGGGAGGAAGGGCAGUAAAUUAAUACUUUGCUGUUUUGACGUUACCGACAGAAUAAGCACCGGCUAACUCUGUGCCAGCAGCCGCGGUAAUACAGAGGGUGCAAGCGUUAAUCGGAAUUACUGGGCGUAAAGCGCGCGUAGGCGGUUUGUUAAGUUGGAUGUGAAAGCCCCGGGCUCAACCUGGGAACUGCAUCCAAAACUGGCAAGCUAGAGUACAGUAGAGGGUGGUGGAAUUUCUUGUGUAAGCGGUGAAAUGCGUAGAUAUAGGAAGGAACACCAGUGGCGAA
rnacentral:rRNA from 1 species